GGCUUGUCUAGGGAUCUAUUUUAUCAUUCAUUCAGACAUUUCAAAUAUUUGAGCACCUGCUAUGGACAGAAGAGAAUAGAGAGGGAUGAGCCAAACCUGAAGUGCAACAAUGGGUAAAGCUGCUGUUUUGU